rnacentral:lncRNA from 1 species
CUGCCACUGUGCUCCCUGCCAAGGAAAUGGAGUCCCUGUCCUGAAAGGAUCACGCUGUGACUGCAUCUGUCCUGUUGGAUCCCAAGGCCUAGCCUGUGAGGUCUCCUAUCGGAAGAGUAAGUUAAUUGGAAAAGGAACUCUGGGGAGGUCCAGAGAAUAAUUCACCAGAAGAAGAGCAAGGAGCUGGUGUGGAGUGUGGGGCUGGAUACUAGGAAACCUGAGAUCCAUCCUGCUUAAACUCAGCUUGGAUUGAAAUUCCAUCUCCAUCAUUUAAUAACUGAUGGAUUGAUUGUUAUGCAUUUCAUUAUUUUUACAACACAGAGUGCUUCAUG